GGUUACGAACAAGUGUCGAGAGUUAAGAGCUCGGAAGUCAGAUUUGGUCGGAGACACAUCACACUAUCAAUCUCGAGAUCUCGAUCAAGAACUGGUAGGUAAUCGUGGAAAAGAGAAAAUCGCAUACUAGUCCCUGAUACUCCUAUCUUUAUUGGUUGGCCUUGGUAAGUUCAUAAAAUAUUGUCUUGUGUAUUUUAGUAAUGUUUUUUUUAUUGAAUUUUGUAUUUUGGGGAUAUUAAAUGUGAACUUAAAUGCUACAAUUGAUACAAGGUGAGAAAAUGAAUUGAGAUGGAAAUGUCUGUUAUAUGUAAUGAGCUCGGAUGAACAUAGGAUAUGAUACAAUUGGCAUGCCAAUAGGUUAUAUUGUGUGCUUUACGGGAUUGAUAUGUGCUGAGAUGAUGACAGAUGAUAUGAUAUUAUACAUUAAAUGUAUCAAAAUCCAUCAUUUGUUGUGGAUUACCGAGUUAUAUUUAUAGUGAUCUAGGGGAGGAUGUAAAGCCUACGAGCUUGGCAAUUGGUGCCCAGACGUGUUUCUAAAGGGAUGUUAGCCUUUGGGCUAGGCCUAAGCGCCCAGGCAUGUUCUCGGUUGGAUUAACUCGACUGAGCAUUCUAGCGUGUUUUUGGUGGAUAGUCGCGUAUCGAUAGUUCAUAUCAGUUCAUCGGGCUGAAUCUUAAUUGUUAAACAAUUUAAUGACUUGUAUGGAUAUAUGGUGAUGAAUCUUGAUGAAAAAAAUUGAAAAUGUGUUUAUAUUUAUAGAUGUUGUAUGAUGAUUUGAUAUUGAAUUAACUCGUUUACUUGAAAGUUCAUAUGGCUUGAAUAUGAAGUACCCACCUCUUGAUAUGGUUGUGGUGACAGGGUUAAGUAUAGUUAAUUGUUUGUUAUUUAAAAUUUAAAUAAAAGGUAUGUUAUAUUGUUUUAACCUAUGAACUUACUAAGCUCAAUUGAAGCCCACUUUGCUUUGUUUUUCUUUUUUUUUUUGUAGUUGUUGUGUUGCGGAACCAGGUAAUCAGAUCACACUAUCCAGCCAUUUUUUAGUAGACUUUGAAAAUGUUAUAUUUUGGUUUUGUGGCAUGUAAUAAGAGUAAUUUGUAUAUGAACUUGUGUGGUUGUAAUGUAUAUAUGUUGGUGUUUGCACAAAAUGAAGUGUGGUUAAUGGUUAAAUGGUAUGGUUGCUCAUGGUUUGAUGUGGUAAUCUUGAAUGUGAAAUUGAGCUUAGUAUAUGAUGAAAUAAAAUAGGUAAUCGGUCGGUUGAAAUAUGGUAUGAAAUGAAUUGCUAAGUGAGAUUUUGGUUGAACAUAAGGCAUAAUGGUUUUACAUUUGAUCUGGAUGUUAUUUAGGUGUUAUGUAUAAUGGUUAUUUUGUUAGCAAAUGCAUCGGUGAAUAUACCUUGGUAUGUGGUUGUUGGUUAGUGAUAGAAGUUAUGAUAUCUUUGAUGAUUCAUAUGGUAAUUGCUUAGCUAUGCUUAAUCUUGAAUGAUGUUUGUGAUGAUGUCUUAUGGCAUAUUGGUUAGGCAAUACUAGGAUGUAUUAUAUCAUGUUUUGGAUUGAGUUCAUGAAGUGUUUUAGGUAAGAAUUUAAAGAAAUUGUAAGGUGCUAUAUGUGUAUGUAUGUAUCCUUAAAAUGGUAUGUGAUUUGAGCAUAAAAUGAACUUUAAAACUCAUGAUUUUGACAAUUUUGAUAAAAGUAUCGAUGUUAGGGACUAAGGUAUCGAUACUGGACCAAAUGAACAAUUUUAAAAUCGACAGAAUUCUAAUUUGGCGUCGGAAUUUUUCAAUAAGUAUCGAUAAUUCUUUAAAAACAUCGAUACCUUUUAGAGGUAUCGAUAAAAUGAUUUGAACCAAAUUUUCCAAAUUUGACAGAAUUUCAAACUAGUAUCGAUAUUUAAUUUGGUAUUGAUAUCAAACUCAAAAAUACCGAUACCUAUUACAAAAAUAUCGAUACCUUAUCCAGUUUUUGAAAAUUUUAUAAUUUGGUCAUUUUUCAUGCUCAAAUCUAACCCUUUGUAUUUAAAACUCGAUUUUAGUUCCGUUCUCAUUUGUAAUAAUUAUUGUGUGUAUAAAUAGAAUCAUUCAAUGUUUUAAAUUUUACAUGAUUAUUUCGUUUUAUUUGUAGCAUCUUAUAGCUUAGGUCCAAUGACCAGACCGAGUAUAGGGUGUUAUAAGUGGGAACUUAUUACAAAUUAUUUAAUCCCUUGUUAUAUAUGUCUAAUUGACCCCAAGUUGAAUUUAUCCUCGAUCUAUUUAUGGAUUCAUUCACUUGUGGCGUUCAUGGUGUGACCUACUGUUAGCUCAAUCGAUUAACUAAAAUAGCCAAGAAGGGGUGAAUUGGCUAUUAAAAUUUUUUGUGGAAGCAAGGAUAAGAAAAUGAGACCUAGAACACAAUGAUUUUAGAUUUGUUCAGCCCCGAUUGCCUACUCUACUACCUUAGCUUUCCACCACUAAGGAUUGUCCUAAAUUCACUAAUUUGAUGAACCUUUGAGGACAAUGCUUAACCUUACAACUCCCAUAGGAUUUGUACCAGCCUGUUUUUCAGUGGUGUCGGAAACAGUGAUUUUGGGACCAAAAAUUCGAUGAGUAAGUUCAUAUAAUUAGUAUUUAAAUUAUACGAGUCAAUAGUAAUUUUUAUAUUGAAUUUUGAUUUGAUGAUUUUAAAUAAUUGAAUUAAAGGUUAGUUUAAGUGAUUUAGUUCAAAAGUCAAGUGGUUAUUGAAAACGAGCUAUUAGGACCUCGUUUCUGUAAUAUAAAGUCGUAAAUAUUUUUAUUAAAUAUUUACAGAGUCAUAUUAUACAUGAAUUGAAGUUGGGUCCGGUAAUUUUGAUGAUUUUUUUGCUUAAUUGAGGUAAAAGAGAUUAAAUUGUAAAAGAAGUAAAAGUUAAUUGCUAUAGAUUUAAAAUAGUAAAAGGAUCAAAAUGGAAAUUGAACCAUGGUAAAAGAGUCCAAGCGGUGGUGGCAUGAUAAAAUCUACUAACUUUUGGGGCUAUUUGCUCAUUUAGUCCUAAUUAGUUUAGGAUUAAAUUGAAAAUAAGCUAGUUUAGUUAAAAUUUAAAAUAAUUGAAGAACCAAUUGUGCAAUUAAACCCUCAUUAAUUAGAAAUUAUACCAUUUGAGUAGAUAAUGCACAGUUUGCAAGGCUAAUUACAUGAAAUUUUAUUGAAAUUGUAAGGUUAUAAUAGUAAUUUAUGAAAUUAGGUAAAAUGAAAAUAAAGCAAAAGCCAAAAUUGGCUAUCAUAUUUUUGUUUCUUCCUUAAAAAUUUGAAUCUACCAUUGUUGAGAGGAGAAACCUUCGACCAAGCUAGGUUUCGUCAAUUGAGUAGGUAAAUUUUGCCCCUUUUCAGUAAUUUUUAUGUUUUUGAUCUCGUAUUAGCUUAAUCUAGCUAACUCGGGGAUUAAUUUGUAAAGCUAUCAAAUUUUUUGGAUUAUGCCAUUGAAUCUUGAAGUUUUAUGGUAGAAUAUGAAGCUUGGUUUCUAGAUAAGACUAUUUUGUAAAGUAAUUUUUGGUAAUUUUAAUGUUUAAGGACUAAAUCAUUAAAGUGAUAAAAUUACAGAAACUUGUUGUGUAAUAACAGAAAUUAUAGGCUGUAGAGAGGCCUUAUAUAGUUCAGAUAAACUUUAUUUUAUUCGAAAUUGGUUAAAUUGCUUGUUUUGGGCUUAGGGACUAAAUUGUAUAAAAGUAAAAUGUUGGGGGCAAUUUUGUAAAAAUGUAAAAAAUAACUUAAUUGCAUAAAAUGAAUAAAUGUUGCUGUUAGAAGUAGUGAUUUGUAUGGAAUUAUUAUUUUAUAUCCUAUACGAGUGGAAAAUCGAGGAUAAGAGGAUAUUACCAAAUAGCCCCUGUACUUUGUCGUUGUUAUAGUUUAGUCCGCUAAGUUCGUACGGUUUAAUUUUAGUACAUAUUUAAAUCUAUUAUAGGAACUUAAUUGCAUAAUAUUGGAUUAUAUUGAUGUGUGUAAUUGGAAAUGGAAAUAAUGAAUUGAAAUGACAUUGAUCACUAAUUUAGAUAUUAUGAGUCGUUACUGUAAAUCAAUCCUGUAAGUUCAAGCAUUUAUAAAUGCUUCUAAUAAUCCUUAUACUCUUUCUUAGUAUACUAUUAUUGAAUGUUAUAUUAUAUACUGAAUGAGAUUAGCAAGCGUUACCCACUGAUAUAUUGAUUGGUGCUCAGACGAACGAUACCUACUGAAUCUACUGAAACGUAUGCGCUUUCGAGCCAUACCUACUGAAUUUACUGAAACGUAUGCGCUCUCAAGCCAUACCUACUAAAUCUAUUCAAAAUAAUGCUCUAUUGAAUAAAAGAAUCUACUGAUAUACUGAAUAAAUCUCCUGUAACGUUAUCCACUGAUAUACUGAAGAAGCUCAAUCGAGCGAAAUCUAGUGAUAUACUAAGUAAAGCUCAAAGGAGCAUUAUCCACUGAAUAUAUUGAACUACUAUACUGAUAGCUAAUUUAUGAUAAAUGUUGUGUUUUAUGGAAUUUUAACAUUUAAUUUUAAUUGAUUACUAUGUUUAAUUGGAAAGGUUUAUCAAUAUAUACAAAUGAACUUACUAAGCUUUAUUCAAGCUUACCUGUAUUUGUCUUAUU